UGCCAUGAGGACUAGAAACCUGGAAACCUACGUUUCCCAGCUACUCCAUCUCCCCACACCGCAGGCUUUCUGUUAUGUUCUGAUGAUGAACUACUGCAGGAACAUAUCAGGAAAGCCAAGAGAAUCCACAGACCCUUUGAAGGAACUGUACCACCCCUGCAGACUCCCUGAGAUGCCAAAAACUGUGAAUCUGCUUGCUUUCUCAACUGGGAGGCUCAUGGUCUGGGCUUAACUCCCACUUAUAAGUGAAAAUACGUAAUGGUCUCCAACUCCAUCCAGGUGUCUGUGAAUGCCAUUAUUUCAUUCCUUUAUAUAGGUUCCCCAGUGAGGAUUGUCAGGCCUCUGAGCCCAAGCUAAGCCAUCAUAUCCCCUGUGACCUGCACGUAUACAUCCAGAUGGCCUGAAGCAACUGAAGAUCCACAGAAGAAGUGAAAAUAGCCAGUUCCUGCCUUAACUGAUGACAUUCCACCAUUGUAAUUUGUUCCUGCCCCACCCUAACUGAUCAAUUGACUUUGUGACAAUACACCCUCCCUACCCUUGCGGUAAUGUAAUUUGUGAUAUUCCCUCACCCUUGUGAAGGUACUUUGUACUAUACACCCUCCCCACCCUUGAGAAGGUACUUUGUAAUAUUCUCCCCUGCCCUUAGGAAUGUACUUUGUAAGAUCCACCCCCUGCCCACAAAAAAUUGCUCCUAACUCCACCGCCUAUCCCAAACCUGUAAGAACUAAUGAUAAUCCCACC
rnacentral:lncRNA from 1 species